GACGAACGCUGGCGGCGUGCUUAACACAUGCAAGUCGAACGAUGAUGCCCAGCUUGCUGGGUGGAUUAGUGGCGAACGGGUGAGUAACACGUGAGUAACCUGCCCCUGACUCUGGGAUAAGCGUUGGAAACGACGUCUAAUACUGGAUAUGACUGCCGGCCGCAUGGUCUGGCGGUGGAAAGAUUUUUUGGUUGGGGAUGGACUCGCGGCCUAUCAGCUUGUUGGUGAGGUAGUGGCUGACCAAGGCGACGACGGGUAGCCGGCCUGAGAGGGUGACCGGCCACACUGGGACUGAGACACGGCCCAGACUCCUACGGGAGGCAGCAGUGGGGAAUAUUGCACAAUGGGCGAAAGCCUGAUGCAGCAACGCCGCGUGAGGGAUGACGGCCUUCGGGUUGUAAACCUCUUUUAGUAGGGAAGAAGCGAAAGUGACGGUACCUGCAGAAAAAGCACCGGCUAACUACGUGCCAGCCGCCGCCGUAA
rnacentral:rRNA from 1 species